GGGUAGCCAAGUACGGACGGGAUAAGCGCUGAAAGCAUCUAAGCGUGAAGCCCCCCUCAAGAUGAGAUUUCCCAAUUCGUAAGACCCCUUGAAGACGACGAGGUUGAUAGGUUCGGGGUGGAAGCACGGCAACGUGUGGAGCUGACGAAUACUAAUCGGUCGAGGGCUUAUCCUAAAUAACCCCA
rnacentral:rRNA from 1 species